CCUACGGGCGGCAGCAGUGGGGAAUUUUGGACAAUGGGCGAAAGCCUGAUCCAGCCAUGCCGCGUGCAGGAUGAAGGCCUUCGGGUUGUAAACUGCUUUUGUACGGAACGAAAAGACUCUGGUUAAUACCUGGGGUCCAUGACGGUACCGUAAGAAUAAGCACCGGCUAACUACGUGCCAGCAGCCGCGGUAAUACGUAGGGUGCAAGCGUUAAUCGGAAUUACUGGGCGUAAAGCGUGCGCAGGCGGUUAUAUAAGACAGAUGUGAAAUCCCCGGGCUCAACCUGGGAACUGCAUUUGUGACUGUAUAGCUAGAGUACGGCAGAGGGGGAUGGAAUUCCGCGUGUAGCAGUGAAAUGCGUAGAUAUGCGGAGGAACACCGAUGGCGAAGGCAAUCCCCUGGGUCUGUACUGACGCUCAUGCACGAAAGCGUGGGGAGCAAACAGGAUUAGAUACCCUGGUAGUCU
rnacentral:rRNA from 1 species